CAGUCGCCACGGUAAUACGAAGGGGGCUAGCGUUGUUCGGAUUUACUGGGCGUAAAGGGCGCGUAGGCGGGCGAAUAAGUCAGGGGUGAAAUCCCAAGGCUCAACCUUGGAACUGCCUUUGAUACUGUUUGUCUUGAGUUCGAGAGAGGUAAGUGGAACUGCGAGUGUAGAGGUGAAAUUCGUAGAUAUUCGCAAGAACACCAGUGGCGAAGGCGGCUUACUGGCUCGAAACUGACGCUGAGGCGCGAAAGCGUGGGGAGCAAACAGGAUUAGAUACCCCUGUAGUCCCUGUCUCUUAUAC
rnacentral:rRNA from 1 species